GACGAACGCUGGCGGCGUGCUUAACACAUGCAAGUCGAGCGGUAAGGCCCUUUCGGGGGUACACGAGCGGCGAACGGGUGAGUAACACGUGGGUGACCUGCCCUCAGCUCUGGGAUAAGCCUGGGAAACCGGGUCUAAUACUGGAUAUGACUCCAUGACGCAUGUUGUGGGGUGGAAAGCCUUGUGCGGCUGAGGAUGGGCCCGCGGCCUAUCAGCUUGUUGGUGGGGUGAGGGCCUACCAAGGCGACGACGGGUAGCCGGCCUGAGAGGGCGACCGGCCACACUGGGACUGAGACACGGCCCAGACUCCUACGGGAGGCAGCAGUGGGGAAUCUUGCGCAAUGGGCGAAAGCCUGACGCAGCGACGCCGCGUGAGGGAUGACGGCCUGGUGUAAC
rnacentral:rRNA from 1 species